UCCUUAUAAUCUGUAUUCCUAUAUUUUUCAUUUUUUUAAUCAUACAAUGAUAGAAACUUCCUUACUUCCUCUAUUAACCUUUCAAUUUCCAUUUUGAAUAGCUAAAUUUUAUUGCUCGUUCGAGACCGUACAGCGCACCGUCACCGUUGAAAAUUAAACAAAACUUUUCCCACUCGUCACGGAUGCGGUGCGUGCUACAUGCUCGGGCACGGUGCGCUGAUGUUAAGACUUCGCCAUAUGAUUACUAUAGUGUUGUUGACAACCGAGACACGGCCGAGCUGCGCUGCGGGCACGGUGCGUCCUCGGUACGGAUAUGUGGGCCCCGACCUAAAUCGUGUCAUCUCUAAAAACACGUGGAAAAUCAUGAGCGUGAGUGUUAUGCGCACGCAAAAUGAUAGAUCGGGAGGAGAUUUUAAACGUGCAUUCCGUUGGAGUGUGGGGAGUACUGCUUACGUCGAGUUCUGUACCCACACUCCACACCACCACGUCGGGGUCUUUUAAAGUUACUACGUAUUUCAAGUAGUUGCUAUUUUAGAUUUUUAUUAUGACUGAUAUUCGUCACGCCACCAAAGAAUUCUUAACAGAAUUCAUAGAGAUCUAUAGGUCUCAUCCAGCAUUGUGGAAAGUGAAAUCGAAGGAGUAUGUGAAUAGAAACUUAAAAAAUUUGGGAUAUGAUGCACUAGUGCAAUUUUAUCGCAAGGUCGAUCCAAAUGCUGAUCGAGACCUUGUCUCUAAGAAAGUUCAAUCGAUAAGGGGUGCGUUUCGAAAAGAGCUUAAAAAAACUGAAAAAUUUAAGAGAAGUAGCGCUUCUAGUGAUAGUCAAGAGUUUUGAUACUGUGGCGAACAGUCCGUCAUGCUCCGAAGAGACCUCUGCUUUUGAGACCGGUGAUAACCUUGAGGAAAACGCUACACAAAAUAGCCAAAUUUCUUCAGUUGAAGAACAACCACGUCCUGCUUCUAGAAAGGAAAAGGAAAAAGGUGAAAGCAAUGAAAUGAUUUUCACAACACCUGUCAAAAGAGCAAAGACGAAGGUGACACCACAUGAGAUGCAACAGCAAAUAUUUAUGAAAAGUUGCACGGACGCAUUGAAAAACUGUGAUGAAGAAUCAGAAAGUACAGCCGUCGGGAAAUUUGUUGCCACAAAAAAUAGAAAGUUGAAUGGGAGUCAACAGAUGUACGCUAAAACCCUGAUUACAAAAAUAUUACAUAAAGCUGCUCUAAAUCAAUUAACUGAAGACACUAGUAUUUUCGACCUUCAGUCUCAAAAUCGAAAUACUUUUUCUUCGCCCAGAUUGCUAUCAUCAAUAACAUCUUCACCAGCACCAUCAUCUGGAAGUCUGGAACAUCAGGAGCAGCCACAAAAUGCAGGACAGUUGAUGUCAGAUUUUUCAACGUAUUUUAACAUGUAAAAUAACUGA